AGUCAAUGCUGCAGGAGGCAGGGAUGGUCUCCCCCACCAUGCACCCGCCCCCCGCCGGUUGAAUUUAAACCCCUGACACUGCAAGAUGCUCACUCCUAUAGAGACACCUCUCCGCGGAGCCUCCUCCCUCCCCCACGCUCUCACACAACUAGGUCCAAAGCUUUGCCCCACCUCCCAGAUUUGUUCACCUGAAGAUGCUUUUCUUGAAAAAACAAAACAAAACAAAAACAAAAACAGAAGAUUGAGACUCUGCAGAGUCUUUAAUCCUUAAUUCUGGAGAAGGCGGGACUUGUUCAAAAGUUUGAGAAUUGCAGCCUGAUGCCCAGGAAGGAGCAGAGGUGAUGAGCCGACAGUCUGCUUUGCACCAGACAAGUUGACACCGUUGCUUUAUCAAGAAGGGCAGAGGUAGACCCGGGGUGAAGAGAAGAGGAAAAUUCCUCUCCAUCCACUGGCAAAUUCUCAACCGUUUGGGAAAUCUCUAUUUUUGUUUUCCUUCAAGAAAACCCCAUUUAAAAAAUUGUCAGGCACAUGAAAUGUUCAAGAUUGCCACUAAGUGUCAAUUUUGUCCUGACACGUCUGUGAUUCUUAAAAUUCCCGUUCCUGCUUCUGUGAAAGUUAAUAGUCUUUAAGAUUGAGGUAGGGAUUUAAUUGAGAAAAUUCCAGGAGAGAGAAGCACUUUAAAUGCAGAUAUGGUUAAGAUAGCGCAUUCUAAUAUAACCCACAAGGGGUUAGGCAGAAUAGAUAUACUGAGAGGUAGAAGGUGGUCAGGAAUGUAGGUAUUUCCAGGUUUUGAGUUUAUCACAAACUCAGAGCCCAAGAAAGGAAAAUAAAGGAGGAAGUGUGUGUGUGUGUGUGUGUGUGUGUGUUUGAGCGGGGAGACUAAAACUCCCCUUCUAAAUAAACUGUUCAGAAAG
rnacentral:lncRNA from 1 species